rnacentral:lncRNA from 1 species
AUAAUGACAAGAUACAUUUCUAGAGAGAAUGAGAAGAGGGACAGAGCAGGAACAGCUGUAGAAGAUACAGAAGUCACAGCGACAGAAGACUGAGGUGUGAGGGUCUGCCAGAACGCCUGCAGGAUAGGCUGCCGUGCUGGGUGAAGGUGGCAGCUCUGGUAAGCAGGGUUAUCUGAACUAUGUGGAGUCAUUUGUUAAUUGCUAAGGGUGGAAAGAUAUGUACAUGUGGAUGUGAAAGCACCUGUACAGCAGAAUUAAAGUGAUGAUAGGUUGUACUUCAGAAAGUCAGCAAUAGCAACUGUGUCGUAAAAAGCAAGAUAGGACAUCAGGUUUCGAUGAGAAAUUAAAAGUAGAGAGGGACAAAUUCAAGAUGUAAUAUUUAUUUUACUAGUAUGACUUUGACUUAUCUUUUAUUAUUAUUUAAUCUACCUUGUGGUUUCACCACUUUGAGGCUGGACAUGUUCAGAAAUAAAUAACUAGGUAAGACAGUGAGGGUGAAUGUAAAUUUAUCUUUAUCAUUUUCUGUUUGUUUGGAGUCAUUCUUGGUUAUUUGUGCUUCUUGGUAGCUAUCCCUGGAUAAGGUGAUGAGAAUUCCCAAUUAAGAUUUCGCAAUCCCCCAUGUUAUCACCUGCCUCUCUUAAAACAGCAAAAGCAGCUGAAUCAGCAAAGCUACAACAACAUCGGUGUUGCACAGCAUUGAUUCAUUCCCUGAGCACUCAUUCAUUCGGAGCAUGGUGUAAGGUGAGGCAGGGCGUGUGCAUGGAGCAAUGAUUUAAUUACAGCCUAGAUAUGCAGAGCAAGGAGUAUGGGAUUGACAUCAUCACCUGGACGUUUGAGGAUAUUUGACUUCAACCCGGCAGGGGGGCUAGUAGUUAAUCUUUGAUAAGGUUCUCUGUGUUUUGCUGCCAUCUACUGCAUGCAAUAUCUGUCCUCUUACUCAUUUUCUCUGAGUAAACUUUCCAUAUGCAAAGAAGAAAAGGUAGAUUUGAAAACAAGGAAGCUGCUAUGUUUCUGGUUCUCAAAUCUUACAAACAAUUCAGACUCUCAUAUUUAUGGAGUUCUAAUCCAGAUCCUAAGUAGGAUUCCCAUUGUUGUGCUCUUUGUAAGGCGGUAAGCGUGAUACUGAGGCACUAAUUCAGCAGUGAUAUUUACUUGUCUCUUGAAUCUGGGCCAGUGGAUCUCGAAGGACUGUGCUUUGCAUGUGGCAUUUAUGCACAAGUUUUUCUAAAUAACUGUGAACCCUCACAGCCAAUGUAUUUUACAACUAGACUGAGAAGUGGGUAGAAAAAGCACUUAGUGGGGUGGGAACGUGCUCCACAGCCAGGUGUUAGCCUUGGGGCAGACAGUCUUUUCCCAAAACACCAUCUGGUAUCUUCUGUUGCCACUCAAUCUGGCCUGUGCGUGCCACUCCUUUCCCACUGGGAUACGCAGGGGAGUGAAUGGGAAUUCUGCUUUGCAAGUGGCAGUUGCACAGGCUUUGUAGCCUGUCUGCAGAGUGGAGACACCCGUGUAUCCACAGGUCUUCUGCCAAAGCUCCAUUUGCUCAAAUCACUGUAUUCUCAAACUGGGACAAUGACCCGCAAAGGGUUCUUCUGUUGCGUAGUUAAGCGCAGAGGAUUUUCGAGUUCAAUAGCCCGGGGUCGGCUUUCCUUCUGUCAGCUCAGCUCUCGCACACCUACAUGCAGUGCUGCCCGGUUCCGCCGUGCUUUGGGAGCCGCGUCCCUUCGGUGCCCACAGAGCGGAGCGGUACGGCUACCAGGAUCGCCUGCAGGAGAGGCCGAGCCUCGGGCUGCCCGGCGGUCUGCGCUGUGCGCGUUGAUGGCCAACAACGAUCGGAGCGUUCUUUUGCACUGCAGAAGCCUUCCGUGGUGACAGUAAGCGCAGCGUUCCCUCUGGCGGCCGCUGUCAGCGCCUUCCACGGGACGUACAGCUCCCAGCGGCCGCCGCUUAAGGACUCCUUUCUCUUUACGUUGUGUAAAUACCUUUUGUUGUUGUUUACGUUCCCGACCAACCGCGGGCAUACCCGAAAGUCAGAACUACCGAACUGCCACGGGACUCCAGCGCCAUUUGGGAGCAGCUCGGCAGAUGGGGAGGAUGUUGGAAACAGCACAAAAAAAAAAAAAAAAAAAAAAACACAAUGAUCUCCUUGGAAAGCCCCAAAAUUGCAUAAUUCUGAAACUCUCUCUCAGCUGUUUAGAAUACCGCGGAUUAUUUCCGAGCCGCGCGGGGCGGUGGGGCCCUUCCGAGGGCUAAUCGCGCUGACUCACGCCGCCCUGUGCCGGCCGCCUCCCGCCGGGGCCGCACCCGCUGGCGGUGCGGGUUCGUUAAGGGCAGGCACCCAGCGCCGGCCCGGGCCCGAGCUCCGGGAAGGGACGAGGGCGCUCUGGAGCCCUCGCCCAGCGGGGGCGGCCGGGUCGGGCUCCGC